rnacentral:rRNA from 1 species
AGUGAACGCUGGCGGUAGGCCUAACACAUGCAAGUCGAACGGCAGCACAGUAAGAGCUUGCUCUUACGGGUGGCGAGUGGCGGACGGGUGAGGAAUACAUCGGAAUCUACUUUUUCGUGGGGGAUAACGUAGGGAAACUUACGCUAAUACCGCAUACGACCUACGGGUGAAAGCAGGGGAUCUUCGGACCUUGCGCGAUUGAAUGAGCCGAUGUCGGAUUAGCUAGUUGGCGGGGUAAAGGCCCACCAAGGCGACGAUCCGUAGCUGGUCUGAGAGGAUGAUCAGCCACACUGGAACUGAGACACGGUCCAGACUCCUACGGGAGGCAGCAGUGGGGAAUAUUGGACAAUGGGCGCAAGCCUGAUCCAGCCAUACCGCGUGGGUGAGAAGGCCUUCGGGUUGUAAAGCCCUUUUGUUGGGAAAGAAGAGCAGCAGGUUAAUACCCCGCCGUUCUGACGGUACCCAAAGAAUAAGCACCGGCUAACUUCGUG